rnacentral:rRNA from 1 species
UACGUAGGGGGCGAGCGUUGUCCGGAUUUACUGGGCGUAAAGGGUGAGUAGGCGGUUAUAUAUGUCAGGUGUAAAAGGCUAUGGCUUAACCAUGGUUAGCACUUGAAACUGUAUGACUUGAGUACAGGAGAGGUAAGUGGAAUUCCUAGUGUAGCGGUGAAAUGCGUAGAUAUUAGGAGGAACACCAGUGGCGAAGGCGACUUACUGGACUGUAACUGACGCUGAGUCACGAAAGCGUGGGUAGCAAACAGGAUUAGAUACCCUGGUAGUCCCU